rnacentral:rRNA from 1 species
CAGUCGCCACGGGAAUACAGAGGGUGCGAGCGUUAAUCGGAUUUACUGGGCGUAAAGCGUGCGUAGGCGGCUAAUUGAGUCGGAUGUGAAAUCCCCGAGCUUAACUUGGGAAUUGCAUUCGAUACUGGUUAGCUAGAGUGUGGGAGAGGAUGGUAGAAUUCCAGGUGUAGCGGUGAAAUGCGUAGAGAUCUGGAGGAAUACCGAUGGCGAAGGCAGCCAUCUGGCCUAACACUGACGCUGAGGUACGAAAGCAUGGGGAGCAAACAGGAUUAGAUACCCCGGUAGUCCCUGUCUCUUAUAA